UAAACUAUGACCAAAGUUUAGGCAAACAUAUAAAUGGAGGGGCUAAACAUGUACAAGGAAAAAGAUAUUUACUAAAAGCAAAAUAAGGAAAAACAAACACACACAUCUGGCGUGUGUGUGUGUGUCGCCCCAAGCAGGAGAAAAAGAGGAGAAACCCUAAAAUCCUUGAAGUUGCAAAAUUGAGAAGGGAAAUUGAAGCUAAUCAUAUGCAUGAAUCUGAAUGUACAACCAUUUAAGCCUACUAAUCAAGUGGCAUAGGGAUCAUGUGGAAAUGGACUCAAGAACGGAAGGUUAACGGGUCAAGCGGAGGCGAGGAAGCAAGCAUGAACACUAACGCUCGAGGUUGCGUGGAUUUAGCAUCAUUAUGAAGGAUAGAAAGAUUGAAGAUCGAGUCAAGAGCAAAGGAUUGUACGGGAAAGAUCGGUCACAUAGUUUAGCAAAUGUAGGUCCGAAGUAUUAAUAUAAUGGAACGUGGUAAAUCCUUUUUAAUGAAUGUAUGACAUUUGAUAUUCGAACUUUCCUGUAAGUACUAUGUCUAUUAAAGAACGAAAUUUUUG
rnacentral:lncRNA from 1 species